rnacentral:tRNA from 1 species
GAGGGUAUAGCUCAGUGGUAGUGUGCAUGCUUAGCAUGCAUGAGGUCCUGGGUUCAAUCCACAGUACCUUAA